AAUAUUUUAGUCAUUUUAUUAACAAGUCCACCUGGAUGCAGAUGAAGUUAAAAAUGAAAAGCAAACGAACAUAGUUGCAUUCAGAUGAUUCAUCUGGAUGCAUAGACGAAAUGAAAAAACGAACAACAUCCAGAUGGAUCAUCUAGAUAAGACACUCAGAUGGACCAUCUGGAUGCAUCUUUGAGAUGUACUAACGAACAUGACCUAUGUCUUUGCCAGAAAACGGCCAAGCCUCAAAAGCUUUCAUCGCAACUAUCUGCAAAAGUCUGCGCUUCUUCCUCUAAACCUCUGCUGCCUCCAUGCCACUUCCGCCUGUACGGCCACCAUCGACAUCACAACAACCUCAAGUAAUGAACAAAACGCCGCCUCCUCCUCUGUUUCAUGAUUUUCUCCGCGUAGACCGUUAGGUAAAGAUAAGUUCCUUUGAGUAAUUUUACAAAACGCCCGACCGGACUAUGGCCUGUGAUAAGCUCAGAACAAGCUUCUUUGAUUUCAGUGGAAGGGUUGUGUUUACAGCACUUGAAGCAUUUGUGAAGAAGAUGCCGACUAAGUAAAGAAGAAGAGUUGAAGUUGUAUAGCUACAAAGUUGUAGUAGAUGAGCUUGACUCUGCUGAGAAAUUUCUCAGGGCCCUUGUGGAGUACCAUUUGCAUUUCAAGAGGCUGAAGCAAUGCUUUAUAGAGAGACGGUUGAAGAUGAAGUGGUUCAUCUUAGAAACUCCUUCUCAAUGCUUGAGGAAGCUUGCACGGAGCUUAAGUCAAGCAGGUUAUUCCUGAAGCUUUUAAAAGUCGUCCUUAGGACUGGGAACAAGAUGAAUGUAGGAACCAUACUUGGUGGCGCAAAAGCCUUCAAGCUCUCCAAUGUUAAGUGCACAUAUGAAAAAACAACUCUAUUCCACUUUGUCGUGAAAGAGAUAUCUAGGUCAAAGGGAAUCAGGGUUUAAGACAGCAUCAUGGCAUGCACCAGAGAUUAAAAAAAAAAACAGAACAGGGAGAAAGGGGAGGAAUACAAAAAAUAUUAUAACUUACUUCCCUUCGGAAAAUCAAUACUUGAUCGUUUAUGGCGGUUUGUAAAACAAGAAGAUAUAUAAAUUCGUUGGUGAGUAUACGAGUUCAAUGGAAUGGGGGAAAGUUAUUAUGACAAUAUGACAUGUGGUAUCAACAUUUAUUGUUGGGCAAAAUAUCAUUUUAAA